UUACAGCUGACGUUAACCAGUUAUCGGUGAGCACUUCAAUCUCAGAACGCAGUUGUAACCAUUGUUCUUGUUUUGCAGCGCCCAAUAAACCGCCAACAUUGUUUCGACGCGCAUUGGAAACCAUCGUUAGCAAAAUUGUAAGAAGACAGAUCUUGCCCAUUAUCAUCUGAUGAUACAUCAUCGAUGUGUACUUGGUCACAAUCCUACAGGAAGAUCAAAAAUAGAGUUUCAAAAUUAAUGACACACGCAUCAAUCUUGUACGCGUUUCAAUUAUGGAAUAUCCUGUGUAUUUGAAGUCUGAAGUCUGGUUCUGCCUCCUCACCUCGACGUCGUUGAAAAAGAACAUUGUUGUAUUCUAUAUACUUAAAAAAACGAAAACUGUUUCAUUUCCAAAAGUAUAUAUAUGAGAAGAGAGAAUAACCUAAAACGAAGAAAGAACAAUGACCUUACUCAACCUUUAGAUCUCUAAAUUUGUUCACGUCUGCAGUAUACGAUAUAAUCAGAAGAUAAUUAUUCUACUCCCUAUGAGUCACUUUGUAUGAUGUAACGCGAACCGGAUAUUCAACAGUUCUCAUGCAAUACAACAGCGACAUUUAAGAUUCUGGCUGCAUCGGUGAUUAAAAUUUUGCUCGACGAGGAAGUGCCUGAUAGUGCCGGAGAAGUAGAGAAGAAGUCGAUAGGAACGUUACCAGCAAAAUUUAGGUUUCCAAUGUUAAACGAGGCGGGUGUCGUGUGGUAACCAUGCAUGGGGUAAUAUCCGGAAUACUGUAAUGUACCUGUGAAGACGGUGAUAUAUUUUGAGCCACGUUGGGGAAAUUCGUGGUGCUGCUGUUGUAUGUAGCGUAAGAUGAAUAUUGAGACAUGGAGCUGGGCGUUGUGUAUGAGGUCAGAUAAGAACUUUGCAAGCCCGAGGUGUUUUUCCCGGCUGUGGUUGUCCCGUAGGGGGAAUAGAAGAACCCAGUAGCGUGACAUGACGCGGCGCAAGCACCAGCCACCGGGUUUCUCGUUUUAAUUCAAUCGACCGGCGGCACACGCAAAAGGGAAGCGGGAAAUACAGACAGAAGCCUUUUCAAAACGUCGAAUUUAAACCGUUUUAUUGCAGGUCCGGUUUCGGCUAUCAUUGUCGAUGGUGCGAAACAUUAUAAACACAAAUUUUUCACUUUUUGUUUUCCAAGGAUACUUCAUCAUCGCGAUUAUGUGUUAUGUUGCAUCGAUGAGACGGAAAAGAAAACAAAUUGAGAACAAAUAAACGAAUAAAUAAAUUAAUAAAAGGAAGGCAGAAAUGGCGAUUUGGUUUCU